rnacentral:lncRNA from 1 species
UUAUCCAAGACCCAGGCAUACUUGAAGGAGCCCUUUCCCAUCUCAGCAGCCUCCUUCUCAAAUUUUUCAAUGGGAAUAUGGAAGGAUCCAUCCAGGGUCAGGAAGCAGCAGGCUGGCUUCAUUCUCAGUGUUUGUUUUCUGGGUCUUUGAAGGAGAGGUGUUGCAGGGAAAAAGGUCGUGCAUCAGGAAGUGUCAUUUAAAAAGGACCUGAGUUGGGCUGAGUUAUCAGCAAAUACACGCCAUGGCUGUGCUCCCCACCCCCCACCGUACACUAGCAGGGCAGCAGCUCUGAUUGUCUAACGAGCAGCAGAGCCGCCCAGCAGCAACCACAUUAGGAAGGAAUCGGAAACCAACGCUCCGCUGGCUGUCACCCCUUACCCACUUGCUGUCAGACCACAGCCUGAGGCAGCCAAACCCAUUUCCUUGGGGAUCCAGCGCAAACCAGAGAGUGUGGACAGGCCGAUGGAAGAAUGUUGGACCAGCUUUAAGAAUGGGCUGUUCUAAGUCAUGAAUAUUGUAGGAAGCAGCUCUAAGGACCACAGGGCUGGAGGGUGCACAGGAAGGGGCCAGUGCAUACAGUGAGGCAGUCUUUUUUUUUUUUUUCCCCCCCCCUCUCCUCAUGGCAGGAAAAAAGAAGCUGUUUCUCUUCCUUAAAACUGUUUUAUCUGGCCUGAGUAAGGCACAGAGGCAACUUUCCCCUGGGGUGUGCCUGUGCUUGUGACUGUGGGCAGCAGACAGACCAAGCUGUUUCUCCUCUGCCUGUCUACACCUGUUCUCCACUUGCUCACACCCUGCUCUCUCCUCCUCUAGCAGUGGCUGCUGCUUCCCAGUCUCCACGGCUGCCCCUUCCCAGCAUCUUCACACUGAAGGGCCAGUGUGCAGUCCUCCACCCCCUUCUUUCUCUUCCUCCCUUGGUGACUUCAUUCAGUCUCUUGGCUUUCAAUAGCGCCUGCCUCUGAGGAACCCUGCCCAGACCUCUCUUCUGCACCCCUACCCACAUUUCCAAGUCCCGAUGCAUCCUCUCCAUCUUCCUGUCCAACAGCCUCCCCUAACUUCCUAGGUCUAAUGUGAAGGGCUGGGUCUUCCCCCAUUCUGCGAUGAUCCAUGACACUCUGAUAUUGCCAUUCUGUGCAAAGUUGCUCACAUUUUGACAUUCAUGAUCAUUUUUAAUUCCCCAAAACAAGCAACUGAACUUUCAACUUCCUUUUAUUACCAUAAAAUAGAUGCAAUAGAUACCCUCACCCCAUUCCUCACCCACCCCCCAAUUAGCUUUACCUGGUGCCUAAUCCACAGCCCAUCCCAGACUCACCCUAUCCCUCCUUAGACUUCUCUGUAUCUUUUACCCGAUCCUUCCAGGUGUCCAAACAGUGUCAUCCGGUGUCCUGACAUGCGGCCCCAAUGGACUGAUCCAGGGUGGAAAGGAAGAGUGAGAAGAAAUCAGACAGAAGAAUUCAGGAGAUGUGGCAACAGAGUGGAUGUAGCAGAAGGGACAUAGAGAGUGCCUAAAGAUGAGUCUUUGGUCAGCAUGUGAUGAAAAGAAUGAAGACACUGGGGAAGUGGGGAGCAGAAGCGGAUGUGGGCCCAGGAGGAAGAAGAUUCCAGAGAGCAGAGAUGGCAAAAAGAUGCAUGGAAGAGAGACACAGCAGGGUCGGGUUCUGGCCUCAGGAGCCAAGGGGGAAGUGCCUGAGGAGACCCCCAAAUGAGGCCUGUGUCAAUGAGGUCUUUAGGGGACUGGUUUCCAUGUAUGCCAGGCCAUACUCCCUGGAUUCCCAGCAUUGAGAAGACCAAACACUUCUACACAUUUAUUACUGAAGCCCCCUGCAAGCUGAAGGCGGAGGAAGUGGCCAAUCUCCUAAGCCGUGUGUGGCUGAGGCAGUUGUCAGAGCUGUGAUGAGGGAAAUGCUCAUUAUUCUUCUAUCCCUCACUUGGCCAAAUAAAGAACUUCUUAGAAUUCUUCCCCUGUGACAAAACGGGGCUGUGAUUUGGAAAGCCUCAGGCAAGUUUGCUAGGGCCGCGGUAACCAAGCACCACAGACUGGGUGGCUUCAAAACUGGACGGCUUCAACAGAAAGUUAUUGUUGCUCAGUUCUGGAAGCCAGAAGUCCAAAAUCAAGGUACUUGCAGGGUCAGUUCGAUCUGAGGGCUGCGAGGGAAGGAUCUGUUGUAGACCUCUCUCCUAGGUUUGCAGGCAUUGGUCCUGAUGUUCACAGGGCAUCCUUCCUGUGCCUUCACAUCAUCUUCUCUCUGAAUGUAUCUCUGGGUCCAAAUUUCCCUAUUUUAAAAUAAGGAAAUCAGUCCUAUUGGGUUAGCACCCCGCCCCUCACUUUAACUUGAUUACCUCUGUAAAGACCCUACCUCCAAAUAAGAUCACAUUCUGCGUACUGAGGGCUAGGACCUCAACAUCUGAAUUCAGGGUGGGUGGAUGCACAAUUCAUUCCAUAACAUUAAGAAGGAAGGGAUAAGUGCCCAAGGAAUCACAUGCUCGCUUGGGGAGAGUUCCAAGCGUGCAGAGCUGGUGGUCAUAGCCUAGCCUCAGGCCUUCGGAAAUCCCCUGAAUCUGGUUUUCCCAGUUCUCAUAAUCUCAUUUCACCAAAAUACGGCAUCUCAAUACAUUCCAUGCAUUUCUGGUGACAAGCUCAUUCUGGUGCACGCUAAGCAAUGUGCUAACUACGUCUUAACUAGGGUGGUUUAACUGGUUUGGUUAACAUAGAUCUCUGAGUCAUUUCACGCAUUCCUUAAGCCUAAACAAAUCUCAUCCAGGUGUUUAAGACAUUGCACAAUAUUAGACCAUCUGAAGCUCCAUCUCCUUGGGGCAAUGAUGAUGAUGGUGAUGAAAGUGGCUGGUGACUGUUCUCAGUCUCAUCGCCAUAAUGGAACCCUACGUUGUGUUCCUCCACACUGGUGUGAGGGACACUACUAAGUGCGGCAGAGUUUGCACUCAGGAUAGAGAAAUAUGGACUCACGCACAGAUUCCAGCUGAGUCCCUCCGAUGUGCUAGGUACUAUGUCCAGCCCCCCAGGAUUCACCUGUAAGCAGGACAGUCUUUUGGAUGACAGAGGGAAUUCUCAUAUAUCCACAGGCAGAUGGAAUUUACAAGUGGAAAGACCUAGAAGUUCAGAGACAGGGGGACUGAACUUUUUGCUUUCAGUCAGAAUCUUUGCUUACGGUUGUGCAAAUGCUUGCAUUGGUGGGUUUCCAUGCCAUAUAACGUGCUACAUAUUUUUACGUUACCCUUGCACAUAAGCAUACUGUUGGGAGGGAAAAUGAAGAGGGUGGAGGUGGUAACAAACUCAAGCUAAGGAAAUGGAAUUUGGAUGGGUACAAAGUCCAGAGAAUUAGCUUGAGGAAAAUGAACCAGGAUUCACACAGGAGUUUUCAAACAUCUCAAUAUCAGGACCCCUUUACCCUCUUAAAACUUACUUCGUGAGGACCUUAAAGAGCUUUUGUUUGUGUGACUUAUAUGUAUUAAUAUUUACUAUAUUAGAAAUUAAGAAGAAAAACUAAUAGUGAUCUCCAAGCUUCAAGUGAGAAUUUGUAAAGCAUGGCCUAUAAUAUCUGGCAUUGUUUCCUCCAGGGCUGCUGACAGGGUCCAGGGAAAAUCCCAGGAGCUUCAGAAAAGGGGUUUCUUGCUGAGUGUCAUUGUGUUUUUGCAACAAUGACAAAAUGAUAUUGUGCUUUUAACACUUGAUAGGAAAGGAUACAUUUCUUUCUGCCUCCUGGCAAAUCACUGAAUCUAGGGCAGUAUCUGUCAGGCUGAACUUUUCCAGUACACACUCACCUUUCCUUUGUGGUUUGUUUUUUCUUGAUAAUGAUUCCAUUCCUAAGUUUUCUUCUUAUGUUUAUGUCUCUCCUGGAUGUUAUGCAGCCAUCCAAUGCCGAGUACGAAACUCCACUGAAUCACAGUAAGAAUAGUGUUGAGCCACAUCUUCAUUGCAUCCAUCAGUAGAUUGAUGCCCAGACAGAUUUCAUAUGGAGUAGAACUGGCCGUGAGGUUUUCUGAGAUGACUGAUGGAUUCGGCCUCUCACUCAUGGAAGGUUUUAUAACCCCAGCUUACCUCUGGGUAGUCCUACCCUUCUCACAUCCAGAUGCAGAUUCCGCUGGCAAUUCCAUCUAGUCCUAUGAGACAUUCCCUGGAAAUGAUGUGCUCAUCCUCAUCAGCUACGUGAUGAAUGAAUCCAGGGGUGUUUGUCUGUGAAGUGUCUGCUAUCUCCUGUGCUUGAUUUACUGACGUGGAUGUUGUUCUCGAGGUGUGGGUUGAAGCCAUGAAAAUAAAUGCCUUCAAGGAAGGUAUGUAAGCAGACUGCAGUAUUGGAGGGUACUCACAGUUGGUAAGUAGGGCAGGGAAGAGGAAUGAGAAAAGGUAAGAAGGAGAGAGAGAAGUGAGAGAAUGAGAGUGAGGUUACAAUAGAGUCAAAAUGUGAUCUGUAGACAAAAUGAAGGACAAAUGGUUUUCCCCCCUAAAUUUUACUCCAGGGUACAUUUUCUCCUCUUUCUUUGUCGAACAAUGUGAAGUAAGGGCUUGGAUUUUGUCCUGCAGAUGGUUUUGCAAUCAGUUCUAGCCAUUUCUCUAAGUCUGGGCUUCAAAUCUGUCAGUUGAGAGUGAUACAGUUGCCUGUCCCAUGGUGGUGUUAAGUGAGGCUGAGAGCAUCAAACAAAUGUCCCAGCUCCUGCCACAGUUGCAUCCUUGACACGUUCCAGUGGUGCCCGAGCAACACUGCAAAGACCCCCUGGGAUGUCUGUUGGCAAGAAAAGGUGGAGCCACUGCCCUGGGGGGCUGGGAAGGGAGUUAGAGAACUACUGUCUUAACCUAAAAUUUGGGCAGAAUCUGCCUUGGAUCAAAUUUAAAAUCUUUUCUGAAUAUUAGCUGACUUGAUUAGAAACUAGUUGUCUCUCCCCUUCUCAGCAGAAGACUGUGGAAUGUGUCUCCUAGCAACAGAGAUGUGUUACUAUCUUAUGGUAGGACUGUUUUAUAAAGCAGCAAUCUCCAACCUUUUUGGCACCAGAGACCAGUUUCAUGGAAGAUGAUUUCUCCACAGACAGGGAAGUGGGGGGAUGGUUUCAGGAUGACUCAUGCGCAUUACAUUUAUUGUGUACUUUAUUUCUAUUAUUAUUACAUUGUAAUAUAUAAUGAAAUAAUUAUACAACUCACCAUAAUGUAGAAUCAGUGGAACCCCUGAGCUUGUUUUCCUGCAACUAGAUGGUUCUAUCUGGGGGGUGAUGGGAGACACUGACAGAUGAUCAGGCAUUAGAUUCUCAUAAGAAGUGCACAACCUAGAUCCCUCACAUGUGCAGUUUACAGUACGGUUCACGCUCUUUUGAGAAUCUUAUGCUGCUGCUGAGGUGGAAGGUGGAGGUGGAGGUCGAAGGUGGAGGUGGAGCUCAGGCAGUAAUGUGAGCAAUGGGGAAUGGCUGUAAAUACAGAUGAAGCUUCACUCACUUGCCUGCCACUCAAAACAGGCCACAGACCAGUACCGUGUAGAAGUACCAAUCUGUAGCCUGGGGGUUGAGGACCGCAGCUAUAAAGGACACUCAUUCUGCUGUCCGCACUUCUCCCAAUAACUACCAGGAAAGGGUCACAGUCAGAAUGAAUUUAGCCAUUCACCUUCAGUACCAAUGCAUUGUCCUAAAGAGGUAACAGUUCCACUGGCUUCAAAUCUUUUGUAUCAUACUAUAAUAUCAUUUACAGAAUUUAAAAUAAGUGCAUACAAAUAAAAUGGACAUUCCACAAGAACACAUCCAAAUGAAAAGAUACACAUUCAAAUGGGGGUAGGGGAGAGGAAUUAGGGUUAAAAAGGAAAUCAGUUCUUCUAUCAAAUAAGGGAUUUGCGAGUUCUAAUAAUGUGCUAAGACCUAAUGUGUGUGUGAUAAUGUGCUAAAACCCAAGGAAGAUGACAAACCAGAUGUUUGGCCCUUCUAGGCCGAAACAGAAUCUGAGGCAGGCUGGUCUAGGGUAGCACUCUUGGGAGAGACAGGAGAGAAGUCUGAGGCCUGCUGAGAGAUAGCGGGUAAAGAGAGAAAGAGAAGAGCCAGCAAAGGUGCCUGAGGAAGAGGAGUUGGAAAAGUUGAGAAGGUAAAUAGUCAAGUGAAAUGUAACAGGUUCUUGAUAAACAAUGCGGCUGGGAGCGUGGAAAGGAAGGUGUUGAUAAAAGAGAUAUAUUAAGAUAAAGUGCAGUUAAAUCCAUC